rnacentral:lncRNA from 1 species
AUGGUUGCUGCUGUGGUCGUGCCCGAUGCAGUUGCUGGCAAUGCUGAUGUCACUGGUAAAAAUGUAGAAGCUUUGGGUGUAGUAGCCGACUCUACUAAGCCUGUUGUUGUUGUCACUGUAUUUUCUGUUGUAGUUAUCCUGAUUGUUUUCUGUUCAUUGCUAACAGUUGCUGAUGUGGUUUUGUCCAGUGCAGUUGCAUGCAAAGCUGAUGUUACUGGUGCAAAUGUAGAAGUUCUUGCUGUAGUAGCAGACACUAUUCGGCCUGUUGUUGUUGUCACUGUAUUUCCAGUUGUAGCUAUCCUGAUUGUUUCCGGUUCAUUGCUAACAGUUGCUGAUGUGGUUGUGCCAAAUGCAGUUGCUGGCAAUGCUGAUGUCACCGGUGCAAAUGUAGAAGCUUUGGGUGUAGUAGCCGACUCUACUAGGCCUGUUGUUGUUGUCACUGUAUUUCCUGUUGUAGCUAUCCUGAUUGUUUCCGGUUCAUUGCUAACAGUUGCUGAUGUGGUUGUGCCCAAUGCAGUUGCUGGCAAAGCUGAUGUUACUGGUGCAAAUGUAGAAGUUUUUGCUGUAGAAGCAGACACUAUUCGGCCUGUUGAUGUUGUCACUGUAUUUUCUGUUGUAGUUAUGCUGAUUGUUUCUGGUACAUUGCUAACAGUUGCUGAUGUGGUUGUGCCCAAUGCAGUUGCAUGUAAAGCAGAUGUCACAGGUACAAAUGUAGAAGCUUUGGGUGUAGAAGCAGACUCUACUAGGCCUGUUGUCAUUGUCACUGUAUCUUCUGUUGUAGUUAUCCUGAUUGUUUCUGGCUCAUUGCUAACAGUUGCUGAUGUGGUUGUGCCCAAUGCAGUUGCUGGCAAUGCUGAUGUCACCGGUACCAAGGUAGAAGCUUUGGGUGUAGUAGCAGACUCUACUAGGCCUGUUGUUGUUGACACUGUAUUUUCUGUUGCAGUUAUCCUGAUCGUUUCCGGUUCAUUGCUAACAAUUGCUGAUGUGGCUGUGCCCAAUGCAGUUGCUGGCAAUGCUGAUGUCACAGGUGCAAAUGUAGAAGCUUUGGGUGUAGUAGCAGACUCUACUAGAACUGUUGUUGUUGUCACUGUAUUUGAGAGUCGUUUGGGUGUAGUAGCCGACUCUACUAGGCCUGUUGUUGUUGUCACUGUAUUUCCUGUUGUAGCUAUCCUGAUUGUUUCCGGUUCAUUGCUAACAGUUGCUGAUGUGGUUGUGCCCGAUGCAGUUGCUGGCAAAGCUGAUGUUACCGUGCAAAAUGUAGAAGUUUUGCUGUAGAAGCAGACACGUAUUUGGCCUGUUGAUGUUGUCACUGUAUUUUCUGUUGUAGUUAUACUGAUUGUUUCCGGUACAUUGCUAACAGUUGCUGAUGUGGUUGUGCUCAAUGCAGUUGCUGGCAAAGCUGAUGUCACUGGUAAAAUGUAGAAGCUUUGGGUGUAGUAGCAGACUCUACUAGGCCUGAUGUUGUUGUCUCUGUAUUUUCUGUUGCAGUUAUAAUGAUUGUUUCCAGUCUAUUGCUAACAGUUGCUGAUGUGGUUGUGCCCAAUGCAGAUGCUGGCAAAGCUGAUGUUACUGGUGCAAAUGUAGAAGUUUUUGCUGUAGUAGCAGACACUAUUUGGCCUGUUGAUGCUGUCACUGUAUUUCCGGUUGUAGUUAUACUGAUUGUUUCCGGUACAUUACUAACAGUUGCUGAUGUGGUUGUGCCCAAUGCAGUUGCUGGCAAUGCUGAUGUCACCGGUACCAAG